GACGAACGCUGGCGGCGUGCUUAACACAUGCAAGUCGAACGGAAAGGCCCUGCUUUUGUGGGGUGCUCGAGUGGCGAACGGGUGAGUAACACGUGAGUAACCUGCCCUUGACUUUGGGAUAACUUCAGGAAACUGGGGCUAAUACCGGAUAGGAGCUCCUGCUGCAUGGUGGGGGUUGGAAAGUUUCGGCGGUUGGGGAUGGACUCGCGGCUUAUCAGCUUGUUGGUGGGGUAGUGGCUUACCAAGGCUUUGCCGGGUAGCCGGCCUGAGAGGGUGACCGGCCACAUUGGGACUGAGAUACGGCCCAGACCCCUACGGGAGGCAGCAGUGGGGAAUAUUGCACAAUGGGCGGAAGCCUGAUGCAGCAACGCCGCGUGCGGGAUGACGGCCUUCGGGUUGUAAACCGCUUUCGCCUGUGACGAAGCGUGAGUGACGGUAAUGGGUAAAGAAGCACCGGCUAACUACGUG
rnacentral:rRNA from 1 species